UACGGGGGGGGCAAGCGUUGUUCGGAAUAACUGGGCUUAAAGGGAGCGUAGGCGGGCUAACAAGUCUGGGGUGAAAUCCCGCGGCUCAACCGUGGAACUGCCUCAGAUACUGUCGGCCUCGAGGGAGAUAGGGGCAUGCGGAACUAACGGUGGAGCGGUGAAAUGCGUUGAUAUCGUUAGGAACUCCGGUGGCGAAAGCGGCGUGCUGGAUCUCUUCUGACGCUGAGGCUCGAAAGCUAGGGGAGCAAACGGG
rnacentral:rRNA from 1 species